rnacentral:tRNA from 1 species
UUCCCGUUAACUCAGUGGUCAGAGUAGUGUGCUUAUGAUUCACACCGGUCGUGGGUUCAACUCCCACACGGGAAA